AAACACGAACAACUUUGGUGUUUAUGACGUCGAUAUUCGACGUCAUAGACACGAACAACUUUGGUGUUUAUGACGUCGAUAUUCGACGUCAUAAACACGAACAACUUUGGUGUUUAUGACGUCGAUAUUCGACGUCAUAAACACGAACAACUUUGGUGUUUAUGUCGACGUCAUGAACACGAACUACUUUAGUGUUUAUGACGUCGUUUUUCGACGUCAUAAACACGAACAACUUUCGUGUUUAUGACGUCGAUAUUC